ensembl:snoRNA SNORD115 Small nucleolar RNA SNORD115
GGGUCUAUGAUGACAAACCUAUGUCAUGAAGAGAGGUGGUGACAUAAAUAUCAUGCUCUGGUUCUGGCAGCUGAGGCCC